rnacentral:rRNA from 1 species
AGCGAACGCUGGCGGCAGGCUUAACACAUGCAAGUCGAGCGCCCCGCAAGGGGAGCGGCAGACGGGUGAGUAACACGUGGGAACGUACCUUUUGGUUCGGAACAACACAGGGAAACUUGUGCUAAUACCGGGUAAGCCCUUACGGGGAAAGAUUUAUCGCCGAAAGAUCGGCCCGCGUCUGAUUAGCUAGUUGGUGAGGUAAUGGCUCACCAAGGCUACGAUCAGUAGCUGGUCUGAGAGGAUGAUCAGCCACACUGGGACUGAGACACGGCCCAGACUCCUACGGGAGGCAGCAGUGGGGAAUAUUGGACAAUGGGGGCAACCCUGAUCCAGCCAUGCCGCGUGAGUGAUGAAGGCCCUAGGGUUGUAAAGCUCUUUCGCCGGAGAAGAUAAUGACGGUAUCCGGAGAAGAAGCCCCGGCUAACUUCGUGCCAGCAGCCGCAGUAACAC